GGGGGCGUUUUGGAUUCGACGCCGGUUACAAAACCUGUAGUGCAUGCCGAGAGGGUGACCAAUCUCGUAAAUCCAAAGUCGCAAACUUUAUAGUUGCCAACGACGACAACUACGCACUCGCUGCCUAAGAAACAGUAGAGCGCCAUCUGACUGGAGCCGUGCUUGUGCGUCCAGGCUUCAACUACCUCAGGCGUCAAACCCCGGAGUAGCGGCGAAGCAUUCAGGUGUCAUAUUUCACAAGAUCGCGAGGAAACACGUCCGGGGUGGACUCGCUAAAACCUAAACCGGAAUCGCUACGUUGCGCGCCCUGUCGGUCGGGCUGUGACGAGCUAAAUAUAAUAGACCUGACUAAGCAUGUAGAGCUGCCGGCAGCGGACUGACGGACGCGGGUUCAAUUCCCGCCGCCUCCACCA
rnacentral:tmRNA from 1 species